CCCUUAGAUGUCCUGGGCCGCACGCGUGCUACACUGACGCCUACAGCGAGUACUUCCCAGCCCCGAGAGGUGGCUGGUAAUCAGCAAUAGGCGUCGUGAUGGGGAUAGAUCUUUGGAAUUAUGGAUCUUGAACGAGGAAUGCCUAGUAAGCGCAGGUCAUUAGCCUGCGCUGAUUAAGUCCCUGCCCUUUGUACACACCGCCCGUCGCUCCUACCGAUUUCGAGUGGUCCGGUGAAUCUUUCGGACUGCGCGCGGCCUCGUGCCGUGUCGCGGAAAGUCAGGUAAACCUUAUCACUUAGAGGAAGGAGAAGUCGUAAC
rnacentral:rRNA from 1 species